rnacentral:rRNA from 1 species
GCGACUGGCGGCGUGCUAUACAUGCAAGUCGAGCGGACAGAAGGGAGCUUGCUCCCGGAUGUUAGCGGCGGACGGGUGAGUAACACGUGGGUAACCUGCCUGUAAGACUGGGAUAACUCCGGGAAACCGGAGCUAAUACCGGAUAGUUCCUUGAACCGCAUGGUUCAAGGAUGAAAGACGGUUUCGGCUGUCACUUACAGAUGGACCCGCGGCGCAUUAGCUAGUUGGUGGGGUAAUGGCUCACCAAGGCGACGAUGCGUAGCCGACCUGAGAGGGUGAUCGGCCACACUGGGACUGAGACACGGCCCAGACUCCUACGGGAGGCAGCAGUAGGGAAUCUUCCGCAAUGGACGAAAGUCUGACGGAGCAACGCCGCGUGAGUGAUGAAGGUUUUCGGAUCGUAAAGCUCUGUUGUUAGGGAAGAACAAGUGCGAGAGUAACUGCUCGCACCUUGACGGUACCUAACCAGAAAGCCACGGCUAACUACGUGCCAGCAGCCGCGGUAAUACGUAGGUGGCAAGCGUUGUCCGGAAUUAUUGGGCGUAAAGGGCUCGCAGGCGGUUUCUUAAGUCUGAUGUGAAAGCCCCCGGCUCAACCGGGGAGGGUCAUUGGAAACUGGGAAACUUGAGUGCAGAAGAGGAGAGUGGAAUUCCACGUGUAGCGGUGAAAUGCGUAGAGAUGUGGAGGAACACCAGUGGCGAAGGCGACUCUCUGGUCUGUAACUGACGCUGAGGAGCGAAAGCGUGGGGAGCGAACAGGAUUAGAUACCCUGGUAGUCCACGCCGUAAACGAUGAGUGCUAAGUGUUAGGGGGGUUUCCGCCCCUUAGUGCUGCAGCUAACGCAUUAAGCACUCCGCCUGGGGGAGUACGGUCGCAAGACUGA